rnacentral:rRNA from 1 species
CAGUAGCCGCGGUAAUACGGAGGAUCCGAGCGUUAUCCGGAAUUAUUGGGUUUAAAGGGUGCGUAGGCGGAUAGAUAAGUCAGUGGUGAAAGACGGUGGCUCAACCAUCGCAGUGCCGUUGAUACUGUUUAUCUUGAAUCUGGAUGAGGUAGGCGGAAUGUGGCAAGUAGCGGUGAAAUGCAUAGAUAUGCCACAGAACACCGAUUGCGAAGGCAGCUUACCAAGGCAAAAUUGACGCUGAGGCACGAAAGCGUGGGGAUCGAACAGGAUUAGAUACCCCAGUAGUCCCUGUCUCUUAUAC